rnacentral:rRNA from 1 species
UACGGGGGGUGCGAGCGUUGUCCGGAACCACUGGGCGUAAAGGGCGCGUAGGUGGUUUGAUAAGGGUGUGGUGAAAGCCCGGAGCUCAACUCCGGGUCUGCCGUGCCGACUGUCAAACUCGAGGGCUGUAGAGGCAGACGGAAUUCCGGGUGUAGCGGUGGAAUGCGUAGAGAUCCGGAGGAAGACCGGUGGCGAAGGCGGCAUCCUGGACCGGUAUUGACGCUGAGGCGCGAAAGCCAGGGGAGCAAACGGG